rnacentral:rRNA from 1 species
CAGCUGUUACUUUACUUGGAUCUUGACACANUCCUACAUUGGAUAACUGUGGGUAAUUCUANAGCUAAUACAUGCAUAUAGNNCAUCUGACCUCACGGGAAGAGUGCAUUUAUUAGAACAAAACCAAGCGGCUUCGGCUGUUUCUGGUUGACUCAUAGUAACUGAGCUGAUCGCAUGGUCUUGCACCGGCGACGUGUCUUUCAAGUAUCUGCCGUAUCAACUUUCGAUGGUAGUGUAUCUGACUACCAUGGUGAUCACGCGUAACGGAGAAUAAGGGUUCGGCUCCGGAGAGUUCGCCUGAGAAAUCGCGAACACAUCUAAGGAAGGCAGCAGGCGCGAAAAUUACCCACUCUCAGCACGAGGAGGUAGUGACGAAAAAUAACGAGACCGUUCUCUUAUGAGGCCGGUCAUCGGAAUGGGUACAAUUUAAACCCUUUAACGAGUAUCUAUGAGAGGGCAAGUCUGGUGCCAGCAGCCGCGGUAAUUCCAGCUCUCAAAGUGCAUAGAAUUAUUGCUGCGGUUAAAAAGCUCGUAGUUGGAUCUGUGCCAUAGGACGUGGUCCACCUUCGGGUGCGUACUACGCUCCUAGGCUUUUUGCUGGUUUUCCCGUCGUAGCCUUCACUGGUUGCGGCGGGUGGCUGGCGAGUUUACUUUGAGAAAAUCAGAGUGCUCAAUACAGGCGUAUCGCUUGAAUGAUUGUGCAUGGAAUAAUAGAAAAGGAUUCSAAGUCCUCUUUUAUUGGUUUUGUGGACUGASAYAAUGGUUAACAGGGACAACACGGGGGCAUKCGUAUCUCUGCGUGAGAGGUGAAAUUCUUGGACCGUAGAAAGACGCACUACUGCCAAAGCAUUUGCCAAGAAUGUCUUCAUUAGUCAAGAACAAAAGUCAANAGGUUC